rnacentral:rRNA from 1 species
GUGGUAUCCUGUCUGAAUAUGGGGGGACCAUCCUCCAAGGCUAAAUACUCCUGACUGACCGAUAGUGAACCAGUACCGUGAGGGAAAGGCGAAAAGAACCCCGGCGAGGGGAGUGAAAAAGAACCUGAAACCGUGUACGUACAAGCAGUGGGAGCACGCUUAGGCGUGUGACUGCGUACCUUUUGUAUAAUGGGUCAGCGACUUAUAUUCUGUAGCAAGGUUAACCGAAUAGGGGAGCCGAAGGGAAACCGAGUCUUAACUGGGCGUUAAGUUGCAGGGUAUAGACCCGAAACCCGGUGAUCUAGCCAUGGGCAGGUUGAAGGUUGGGUAACACUAACUGGAGGACCGAACCGACUAAUGUUGAAAAAUUAGCGGAUGACUUGUGGCUGGGGGUGAAAGGCCAAUCAAACCGGGAGAUAGCUGGUUCUCCCCGAAAGCUAUUUAGGUAGCGCCUCGUGAAUUCAUCUCCGGGGGUAGAGCACUGUUUCGGCAAGGGGGUCAUCCCGACUUACCAACCCGAUGCAAACUGCGAAUACCGGAGAAUGUUAUCACGGGAGACACACGGCGGGUGCUAACGUCCGUCGUGAAGAGGGAAACAACCCAGACCGCCAGCUAAGGUCCCAAAGUCAUGGUUAAGUGGGAAACGAUGUGGGAAGGCCCAGACAGCCAGGAUGUUGGCUUAGAAGCAGCCAUCAUUUAAAGAAAGCGUAAUAGCUCACUGGUCGAGUCGGCCUGCGCGGAAGAUGUAACGGGGCUAAACCAUGCAC